rnacentral:rRNA from 1 species
UACGAAGGGGGCUAGCGUUGCUCGGAAUCACUGGGCGUAAAGGGCGCGUAGGCGGUGCGGUAAGUCACUUGUGAAAUCUCUGAGCUUAACUCAGAACGGCCAAGUGAUACUGCAGUACUAGAGUGCGGAAGGGGCAAUCGGAAUUCUUGGUGUAGCGGUGAAAUGCGUAGAUAUCAAGAGGAACACCUGAGGUGAAGACGGGUUGCUGGGCCGACACGUGACGCUGAUGCGCGAAAGCCAGGGGAGCAAACGG